rnacentral:lncRNA from 1 species
UGCAAGAUUACAUUUUUAUGACCAACAAGUUCUGAUUAGUGCAGUUUGAAAACAAAAUACCCCAACAUUUCUGACAUUUUGGAAAUACAGAAUUUGGUCAGAAGAGAAGGGUUUCAGAUCAGAAAAAUCUUGACAGGACAUGACAACAUAAGUAGACAUGAAUUAUGUUGGCUUGUAAUAUUUUGUUGGAACGAAUGGCAUUUUAGUGACAACACCAUCGUAAGCCUUUCCUCUGACAAUUAUCUUAACUUUGGUGCCAGCCUUGUGAGUUCCAGAUUUCACAUAGCCCAUGGCAAUGUUCUUCUUGAGACAAGGGCUAAAUCCUCCACUGGUGACU